rnacentral:rRNA from 1 species
GGGAAGUGCGGCGGCUUACACAUGCAGUCGAGCGCACUCUUCGGAGUGAGCGGCGGACGGGUUAGUAACGCGUGGGAACGUGCCCUUCUCUAAGGAAUAGCCACUGGAAACGGUGAGUAAUACCUUAUACGCCCUUCGGGGGAAAGAUUUAUCGGAGAAGGAUCGGCCCGCGUUAGAUUAGAUAGUUGGUGGGGUAAUGGCCUACCAAGUCUACGAUCUAUAGCUGGUUUUAGAGGAUGAUCAGCAACACUGGGACUGAGACACGGCCCAGACUCCUACGGGAGGCAGCAGUGGGGAAUCUUGGACAAUGGGCGCAAGCCUGAUCCAGCCAUGCCGCGUGAGUGAUGAAGGCCUUAGGGUCGUAAAGCUCUUUCGCCAGAGAUGAUAAUGACAGUAUCUGGUAAAGAAACCCCGGCUAACUCCGUGCCAGCAGCCGCGGUAAUACGGAGGGGGUUAGCGUUGUUCGGAAUUACUGGGCGUAAAGCGCACGUAGGCGGAUCAGAAAGUAUAGGGUGAAAUCCCAGGGCUCAACCCUGGAACUGCCUUGUAAACUCCUGGUCUUGAGUUCGAGAGAGGUGAGUGGAAUUCCGAGUGUAGAGGUGAAAUUCGUAGAUAUUCGGAGGAACACCAGUGGCGAAGGCGGCUCACUGGCUCGAUACUGACGCUGAGGUGCGAAAGUGUGGGGAGCAAACAGGAUUAGAUACCCUGGU